GUGUUCUUUGAAAGGAGAGACGGUUGGCAUCUCCCCUGGCCCUGACAGGGACGGGAACAGCCUUCCGGCUUACCUGUUAGCACACAUUGUCAACCCAUUAACAUGUCAAGAGACAAAGUGCUGGA
rnacentral:ncRNA from 1 species